CGAACCGAGCGAACGUUGUUCGGAAUCACUGGGCUUAAAGGGUGCGUAGGCGGGCUGCCAAGUUUGAGGUGAAAUCCUCCGGCUCAACCGGGGAAGUGCCUUGAAUACUGGCGGUCUGGAGGGAGGUAGGGGCGUGCGGAACUAACGGUGGAGCGGUGAAAUGCGUUGAUAUCGUUAGGAACUCCGGUGGCGAAGGCGGCACGCUGGACCUCUUCUGACGCUGAGGCACGAAAGCCAGGGGAGCGAACGGGAUUAGAUACCCCGGUAGUCCUGGCCCUAAACGUUGAGAACUAGGUAGCAGGCCGGACAUGGGCUUGCUGCCGGAGCAAAAGUGCUAAGUUCUCCGCCUGGGGAGUAUGGUCGCAAGGCUG
rnacentral:rRNA from 1 species